UGGCAGAGGUAUGGCACCAGCCUUACCCCCGUUCCGACGUGGAGUUCGGUGGCCCUUUGGAUAUUCCACAUCAGUGCCAUGGGAAGAAAAGGUAUCUUCGUUUUCUUUAUUGGAUGAUGGCACUGUACGCCACUGCACAGCUCCGUGGAAUGCCUGCUGUUGGAUACUUGCAGAUCCCUGCCACCAAGCAACCUCCUGCAUUGGAAAUCGGGUGACUACUCCAGGAUCUUAUGCGUGCUUGCUGUUUGAAGCUGCAGAAAAGUGAAUAAUCAAUUAAGUAUUGAUUUCUUGUAAGAUUUGGUAAAUUUCAAAGGCAAGACAAAGAGGAUGGCUUAAGGAAAGCACUGCAGGGACUUGGCGUAAAUUAGACAAGUAACAGCAGUUGCAGAAUAAAAUAACACCUCAACUGAAUAUUUCCUUGGAAGAAUUAGCACUAGCUACUGGAAGACGAUGGUGGAUUUAAUCAAGACGGCAGGCACGCUUGAGUUUUACCCGUGAACCUGAAAGAGGAGCUAAUUAUAACCACCUUUUUCUAUGGAGCUAAUUUGACUGAAUGGAUGCAAAUGUGCUUUAUUUAUGGAUGAAGAAGCAAGCCUUGCAGCAUUGACUUUGGGAUCAUCGCAUAUGCUAAGCUCUGCAGCUCCCCUAAAAGUCAAGCCUACAGUAGGUUUUGCUUUGCUGAGAAGGUAUUUAUAUCUAAGCAUAAGGCAGCCAUACAAAAGAUUCGUCAGAACAAUGUACUGUGGCACCCAGGAGCUAAUUAGAAUCUUGCAGCAUUUUCAUGUUGUCUCUAAUUUUGGGGCUUUUUGCCACUCUGGCUUGCGACAGGCUAUAAAUGGGACAAUAAAUGUGUGCUUUAAAGUGUUGUGA